UAGGGANUCUUCGGCAAUGGGGGCAACCCUGACCGAGCAACGCCGCGUGAGUGAAGAAGGUUUUCGGAUCGUAAAGCUCUGUUGUAAGUCAAGAACGAGUGUGAGAGUGGAAAGUUCACACUGUGACGGUAGCUUACCAGAAAGGGACGGCUAACUACGUGCCAGCAGCCGCGGUAAUACGUAGGUCCCGAGCGUUGUCCGGAUUUAUUGGGCGUAAAGCGAGCGCAGGCGGUUUGAUAAGUCUGAAGUUAAAGGCUGUGGCUCAACCAUAGUUCGCUUUGGAAACUGUCAAACUUGAGUGCAGAAGGGGAGAGUGGAAUUCCAUGUGUAGCGGUGAAAUGCGUAGAUAUAUGAAGGAACACCGGUGGCGAAAGCGGCUCUCUGGUCUGUAACUGACGCUGAGGCUCGAAAGCGUGGGGAGCGAACAGGAUUAGAUACCCUGGUAGUCCACGCCGUAAACGAUGAGUGCUAGGUGUUGGAUCCUUUCCGGGAUUCAGUGCCGCAGCUAACGCAUUAAGCACUCCGCCUGGGGAGUACGACCGCAAGGUUG
rnacentral:rRNA from 1 species